UAUUACGGGGAUGCUUUUAACAUGCAAGUCGAACGGCAGCGCGAGAGAGCUUGCUCUCUUGGCGGCGAGUGGCGGACGGGUGAGUAAUAUAUCGGAACGUGCCCAGUAGCGGGGGAUAACUACUCGAAAGAGUGGCUAAUACCGCAUACGCCCUACGGGGGAAAGGGGGGGAUCGCAAGACCUCUCACUAUUGGAGCGGCCGAUAUCGGAUUAGCUAGUUGGUGGGGUAAAGGCUCACCAAGGCAACGAUCCGUAGCUGGUUUGAGAGGACGACCAGCCACACUGGGACUGAGACACGGCCCAGACUCCUACGGGAGGCAGCAGUGGGGAAUUUUGGACAAUGGGGGAAACCCUGAUCCAGCCAUCCCGCGUGUAUGAUGAAGGCCUUCGGGUUGUAAAGUACUUUUGGCAGAGAAGAAAAGGUACCUCCUAAUACGAGGUACUGCUGACGGUAUCUGCAGAAUAAGCACCGGCUAACUACGUGCCAGCAGCCGCGGUAAUACGUAGGGUGCAAGCGUUAAUCGGAAUUACUGGGCGUAAAGCGUGUGUAGGCGGUUCGGAAAGAAAGAUGUGAAAUCCCAGGGCUCAACCUUGGAACUGCAUUUUUAACUGCCGAGCUAGAGUAUGUCAGAGGGGGGUAGAAUUCCACGUGUAGCAGUGAAAUGCGUAGAUAUGUGGAGGAAUACCGAUGGCGAAGGCAGCCCCCUGGGAUAAUACUGACGCUCAGACACGAAAGCGUGGGGAGCAAACAGGAUUAGAUACCCUGGUAGUCCACGCCCUAAACGAUGUCAACUAGCUGUUGGGGCCGUUAGGCCUUAGUAGCGCAGCUAACGCGUGAAGUUGACCGCCUGGGGAGUACGGUCGCAAGAUUAAAACUCAAAGGAAUUGACGGGGACCCGCACAAGCGGUGGAUGAUGUGGAUUAAUUCGAUGCAACGCGAAAAACCUUACCUACCCUUGACAUGUCUGGAAAGCCGAAGAGAUUUGGCCGUGCUCGCAAGAGAACCGGAACACAGGUGCUGCAU
rnacentral:rRNA from 1 species